AACGAACGCUGGCGGCGCGCCUAAUACAUGCAAGUCGAGCGAGAAGACGUAGCAAUACGUUUGUAAAGCGGCGAACGGGUGAGGAAUACAUGGGUAACCUACCCUCGAGUGGGGAAUAACUAGCCGAAAGGUUAGCUAAUACCGCGUACGCUCCUUGGACUUCGGUUCAGGGAGGAAAGCGAUACCGUGGGUAUCGCGCUCUUGGAUGGGCUCAUGUCCUAUCAGCUUGUUGGUGAGGAACGGCUCACCAAGGCUUCGACGGGUAGCUGGUCUGAGAGGACGAUCAGCCACACUGGCACUGCGACACGGGCCAGACUCCUACGGGAGCAGCAGUAAGGAUAUUGCGCAAUGGGCGAAAGCCUGACGCAGCGACGCCGCGUGGGGAUGAAGGUCUU
rnacentral:rRNA from 1 species